GAUGAACGCUGGCGGCGUGCCUAAUACAUGCAAGUCGAGCGAACAGACGAGGAGCUUGCUCCUCUGACGUUAGCGGCGGACGGGUGAGUAACACGUGGAUAACCUACCUAUAAGACUGGGAUAACUUCGGGAAACCGGCGCUAAUACCGGAUAAUAUAUUGAACCGCAUGGUUCAAUAGUGAAAGACGGUUUUGCUGUCACUUAUAGAUGGAUCCGCGCCGCAUUAGCUAGUUGGUAAGGUAACGGCUUACCAAGGCAACGAUGCGUAGCCGACCUGAGAGGGUGAUAGGCCACACUGGAACUGAGACACGGUCCAGACUCCUAAGGGAGGCAGCAGUAGGGAAUCUUCCGCAAUGGGCGAAAGCCUGACGGAGCAACGCCGCGUGAGUGAUGAAGGUCUUCGGAUCGUAAAACUCUGUUAUUAGGGAAGAACAAAUGUGUAAGUAACUAUGCACGUCUUGACGGUACCUAAUCAGAAAGCCACGGCUAACUACGUG
rnacentral:rRNA from 1 species